AGCGAACGCUGGCGGCAGGCCUAACACAUGCAAGUCGAACGAACCUUUCGGGGUUAGUGGCGGACGGGUGAGUAACACGUGGGAACGUGCCUUUAGGUUCGGAAUAACUCAGGGAAACUUGUGCUAAUACCGAAUGUGCCCUUCGGGGGAAAGAUUAAUCGCCUUUAGAGCGGCCCGCGUCUGAUUAGCUAGUUGGUUGAGGUAAUGGCUCACCAAGGCGACGAUCAGUAGCUGGUCUGAGAGGAUGAUCAGCCACAUUGGGACUGAGACACGGCCCAAACUCCUACGGGAGGCAGCAGUGGGGAAUCUUGCGCAAUGGGCGAAAGCCUGACGCAGCCAUGCCGCGUGAAUGAUGAAGGUCUUAGGAUUGUAAAAUCCUUUCACCGGGGACGAUAAUGACGGUACCCGGAGAAGAAGCCCCGGCUAACUUCGUG
rnacentral:rRNA from 1 species